GACAGAGGCCCCAAGCGUUAGGCGGAAUCACUGGGCUUAAAGCGUGUGUAGGCGGAUCGUUAAGUGUCUUGUGAAAUCCCACGGCUCACCCGUGGAACUGCUGGGCAUACUGGCGAUCUUGGGCCAACUAGGGGCAGCCGGAACAAGCGGUGGAGCGGUGAAAUGCGUAGAUAUCGCUUGGAACGCCGAAAGUGAAAACAGGCUGCUGGGGUUGCGCCGACGCUGAGACACGAAAGCCAGGGGAGCAAACGGG
rnacentral:rRNA from 1 species